AUUGAACGCUGGCGGCAUGCUUUACACAUGCAAGUCGAACGGCAGCACGGGUGCUUGCACCUGGUGGCGAGUGGCGAACGGGUGAGUAAUGCAUCGGAACGUGCCCAUGAGUGGGGGAUAGCCCGGCGAAAGCCGGAUUAAUACCGCAUACGCCCCUUAGGGGGAAAGCGGGGGAUCUUCGGACCUCGCGCUAUUGGAGCGGCCGAUGUCGGAUUAGCCUAGUAGGUGAGGUAAAGGCUCACCUAGGCGACGAUCCGUAGCUGGUCUGAGAGGAUGAUCAGCCACACUGGGACUGAGACACGGCCCAGACUCCACGGGAGGCAGCAGU
rnacentral:rRNA from 1 species